GGUUAAGCGACUAAGCGUACACGGUGGAUGCCCUGGCAGUCAGAGGCGAUGAAGGACGUGCUAAUCUGCGAUAAGCGUCGGUGAGGUGAUAUGAACCGUUAUAACCGGCGAUUUCCGAAUGGGGAAACCCAGUGUGUUUCGACACACUAUCAUUAACUGAAUCCAUAGGUUAAUGAGGCGAACCGGGGGAACUGAAACAUCUAAGUACCCCGAGGAAAAGAAAUCAACCGAGAUUCCCCCAGUAGCGGCGAGCGAACGGGGAGCAGCCCAGAGCCUGAAUCAGUGUGUGUGUUAGUGGAAGCGUCUGGAAAGGCGCGCGAUACAGGGUGACAGCCCCGUACACAAAAAUGCACAUGCUGUGAGCUCGAUGAGUAGGGCGGGACACGUGGUAUCCUGUCUGAAUAUGGGGGGACCAUCCUCCAAGGCUAAAUACUCCUGACUGACCGAUAGUGAACCAGUACCGUGAGGGAAAGGCGAAAAGAACCCCGGCGAGGGGAGUGAAAAAGAACCUGAAACCGUGUACGUACAAGCAGUGGGAGCCUCUUAAUGGGGUGACUGCGUACCUUUUGUAUAAUGGGUCAGCGACUUAUAUUCUGUAGCAAGGUUAACCGAAUAGGGGAGCCGAAGGGAAACCGAGUCUUAACUGGGCGUUAAGUUGCAGGGUAUAGACCCGAAACCCGGUGAUCUAGCCAUGGGCAGGUUGAAGGUUGGGUAACACUAACUGGAGGACCGAACCGACUAAUGUUGAAAAAUUAGCGGAUGACUUGUGGCUGGGGGUGAAAGGCCAAUCAAACCGGGAGAUAGCUGGUUCUCCCCGAAAGCUAUUUAGGUAGCGCCUCGUGAAUUCAUCUCCGGGGGUAGAGCACUGUUUCGGCAAGGGGGUCAUCCCGACUUACCAACCCGAUGCAAACUGCGAAUACCGGAGAAUGUUAUCACGGGAGACACACGGCGGGUGCUAACGUCCGUCGUGAAGAGGGAAACAACCCAGACCGCCAGCUAAGGUCCCAAAGUCAUGGUUAAGUGGGAAACGAUGUGGGAAGGCCCAGACAGCCAGGAUGUUGGCUUAGAAGCAGCCAUCAUUUAAAGAAAGCGUAAUAGCUCACUGGUCGAGUCGGCCUGCGCGGAAGAUGUAACGGGGCUAAACCAUGCACCGAAGCUGCGGCAGCGACACUAUGUGUUGUUGGGUAGGGGAGCGUUCUGUAAGCCUGUGAAGGUGUACUGUGAGGUAUGCUGGAGGUAUCAGAAGUGCGAAUGCUGACAUAAGUAACGAUAAAGCGGGUGAAAAGCCCGCUCGCCGGAAGACCAAGGGUUCCUGUCCAACGUUAAUCGGGGCAGGGUGAGUCGACCCCUAAGGCGAGGCCGAAAGGCGUAGUCGAUGGGAAACAGGUUAAUAUUCCUGUACUUGGUGUUACUGCGAAGGGGGGACGGAGAAGGCUAUGUUGGCCGGGCGACGGUUGUCCCGGUUUAAGCGUGUAGGCUGGUUUUCCAGGCAAAUCCGGAAAAUCAAGGCUGAGGCGUGAUGACGAGGCACUACGGUGCUGAAGCAACAAAUGCCCUGCUUCCAGGAAAAGCCUCUAAGCAUCAGGUAACAUCAAAUCGUACCCCAAACCGACACAGGUGGUCAGGUAGAGAAUACCAAGGCGCUUGAGAGAACUCGGGUGAAGGAACUAGGCAAAAUGGUGCCGUAACUUCGGGAGAAGGCACGCUGAUAUGUAGGUGAAGCGACUUGCUCGUGGAGCUGAAAUCAGUCGAAGAUACCAGCUGGCUGCAACUGUUUAUUAAAAACACAGCACUGUGCAAACACGAAAGUGGACGUAUACGGUGUGACGCCUGCCCGGUGCCGGAAGGUUAAUUGAUGGGGUUAGCGGUAACGCGAAGCUCUUGAUCGAAGCCCCGGUAAACGGCGGCCGUAACUAUAACGGUCCUAAGGUAGCGAAAUUCCUUGUCGGGUAAGUUCCGACCUGCACGAAUGGCGUAAUGAUGGCCAGGCUGUCUCCACCCGAGACUCAGUGAAAUUGAACUCGCUGUGAAGAUGCAGUGUACCCGCGGCAAGACGGAAAGACCCCGUGAACCUUUACUAUAGCUUGACACUGAACAUUGAGCCUUGAUGUGUAGGAUAGGUGGGAGGCUUUGAAGUGUGGACGCCAGUCUGCAUGGAGCCGGCCUUGAAAUACCACCCUUUAAUGUUUGAUGUUCUAACGUUGGCCCCUGAUCGGGGUUGCGGACAGUGUCUGGUGGGUAGUUUGACUGGGGCGGUCUCCUCCUAAAGAGUAACGGAGGAGCACGAAGGUUGGCUAAUCCUGGUCGGACAUCAGGAGGUUAGUGCAAUGGCAUAAGCCAGCUUGACUGCGAGCGUGACGGCGCGAGCAGGUGCGAAAGCAGGUCAUAGUGAUCCGGUGGUUCUGAAUGGAAGGGCCAUCGCUCAACGGAUAAAAGGUACUCCGGGGAUAACAGGCUGAUACCGCCCAAGAGUUCAUAUCGACGGCGGUGUUUGGCACCUCGAUGUCGGCUCAUCACAUCCUGGGGCUGAAGUAGGUCCCAAGGGUAUGGCUGUUCGCCAUUUAAAGUGGUACGCGAGCUGGGUUUAGAACGUCGUGAGACAGUUCGGUCCCUAUCUGCCGUGGGCGCUGGAGAACUGAGGGGGGCUGCUCCUAGUACGAGAGGACCGGAGUGGACGCAUCACUGGUGUUCGGGUUGUCAUGCCAAUGGCACUGCCCGGUAGCUAAAUGCGGAAGAGAUAAGUGCUGAAAGCAUCUAAGCACGAAACUUGCCCCGAGAUGAGUUCUCCCUGACUCCUUGAGAGUCCUGAAGGAACGUUGAAGACGACGACGUUGAUAGGCCGGGUGUGUAAGCGCAGCGAUGCGUUGAGCUAACCGGUACUAAUGAACCGUGAGGCUUAACCUU
rnacentral:rRNA from 1 species